rnacentral:misc_RNA from 1 species
UGUCCUGCGAAUCCUAUUAAGCUGAUAG